GUAUUUGCAAAUACUGCGAAGACGAGCGCGGCCUGUGCGAUGGAAUCUUCCUAGAUGAUGAUAGGCGCUUCAGCAUCAAGCUGGACGAGAACUUCGAAGUGGAUACACGUAUCCCCUGCCAUGCAAGAGUUUUUGUAUUGGAUAAGAUAUGUUUCAGUCAUAGUAUGGAGGAAAAGAAAGUUUACUUGAAGACCGAGCAUGGCUAUAUUUUCCAUGCGAAGUUAUACAAUUCAGAUGACUACACCUAUUUUGGAUGCAAAACAUGGCGAGCACUAUGCAAGACUUAUGCAUUUGAGCCUGAUAUGGUUAUCACCUUUUAUAUUCGUCCGGAAGAUGAUAUUGAAGGUAAUACCGACAUCUGGGUCAAUGUGCAAAUGCCUUCAGUUAUACCAUUAUCUUAUUUCCGUGCAAGCAAACAUGUCCAGCGCUUGGUAGACAGGACCGUAUACUGUCCUGGGGCUGAACUCAACUACGAGGAGCUCAGUCAUUAUGUUUCAUGGCUUGAGG